AUUGAACGCUGGCGGCAUGCCUUACACAUGCAAGUCGAACGGUAACAGGUCUUCGGAUGCUGACGAGUGGCGAACGGGUGAGUAAUACAUCGGAACGUGCCUAGUAGUGGGGGAUAACUACUCGAAAGAGUGGCUAAUACCGCAUGAGAUCUACGGAUGAAAGCAGGGGAUCGCAAGACCUUGUGCUACUAGAGCGGCCGAUGGCAGAUGAGGUAGUUGGUGUGAUAAAAGCUUACCAAGCCGACGAUCUGUAGCUGGUCUGAGAGGACGAUCAGCCACGCUGGGACUGAGACACGGCCCAGACUCCUACGGGAGGCAGCAGUGGGGAAUUUUGGACAAUGGGCGCAAGCCUGAUCCAGCAAUGCCGCGUGCAGGAUGAAGGCCUUCGGGUUGUAAACUGCUUUUGUACGGAACGAAAAGCCCCGGGUUAAUACCCUGGGGUCAUGACGGUACCGUAAGAAUAAGCACCGGCUAACUACGUGCCAGCAGCCGCCGUAA
rnacentral:rRNA from 1 species